rnacentral:rRNA from 1 species
AGUCAUAUGCUUGUCUCAAAGAUUAAGCCAUGCAUGUGUAAGUUCACACUGAUUAACAGUAAAACUGCGGACGGCUCAUUACAACAGUACUAACCUAUUUGGAUGUUCAACGCUAAAAGGAUAACUGCCGCAAUUCGGGAGCUAAUACUUGCUAAAAGCGUCGCAAGACGUGUUUUUCCUUUCCUUAAAUCGAUCACCUAUGGUGUCUUCUGAGGAGUCGAGGGAACUUAACGGACCGCAUUCUUCGGAGGCGGUCGUCCAUUCGGAGUACUGACUUAUCAAAUGUCGAUGGUUCGGUAUUGGCGAACCAUGUUGGUAACGAGUAACGGGGAAUCAGGGUUCGAUUCCGGAGAGGCAGCCUGAGAAACGGCUGGCACAUCUAAGGAAGGCAGCAGGCGCGUAAAUUACCCAUUGCAGACUCUGCGAGGUAGUGACAAGAAAUAACGAGGCGUUGAUCCUAGUGAUCGUCGCUGUCGGAAUGAGAGCAGUUUAAAAUGCUCAUCGAGUAUCAAUUGAAGGGAAAGUCUGGUGCCAGCAGCCGCGGUAAUUCCAGCUUCAAUAGCGUAUACUUAAGUUGUUGUGGUUGAAGAGCUCGUAGUCGUAACUCUGGAUUAUCAACUUGUAGUGGGCGUCGCUUCGGUGGUGCUCACUUUAGGAGUUUGGUAUCCUCAUUUUGACGUUUGGGUGCGGGUGUCAUUAACUUGACGUCCGUAAACUGCGUCGAUUUUACCUUGAAUAAAUCGGAGUGCUCAAAGCAGGCUCUAAUGCUUGAACGAUUGUGCAUGGGAUAAUGGAACAGGGCGUCUCCGCCCUUACAUUGGUUUAAGUGGAGACGUAAUGAUAGAUAGGAACGGACGGCGUGAUUCGUACGAGAGGGUGAAAGGUGAAAUUUUUAGAUCCUUCUCAGACGAGCGGAUGCGAAGGCGUUUCACGAGAACGUUUUCAUUGAUCAAGAGCGAAAGAAGCAGGUUCGAAAACGAUUAGAUACCGUUGUAGUUGCUUCCGUAAACGAUUUAGACUUGCGAUAGGCAAGGGUUGUUAAUAACCUUGUCUGCAGCUUCCGGGAAACCAAAGUGUUUGUAGCCCAGGGGGAGUAUGGUUGCAAAGCUGAAACUUAAAGAAAUUGACGGAAGGGCACCACCAGGCGUGGAGCCUGCGGCUUAAUUUGACUCAACACGGGACAACUUGCCCGGCCCGGACACAGGAAUGAUUGACAGAUUGAGAGCUCUUUCUUGAUUCUGUGGGUGGUGGUGCAUGGCCGUUCUUAGUCGGUGGAGUGAUUUGUCUGGUUAAUUCCGAUAACGGACGAGACUCUGACAUGCUAACUAGUUUCGCUUGCUACCUUUUAGGUCAGGUGGGAACUUCUUAGAUGGAUUGGCGCCUUUUUGAAUGCGCAUGAAAUAGAGCUAUAACAGGUCUGUGAUGCCCUUAGAUGUUCGGGACCGCACGCGCGCUACAAUGAAUUGGUCAAUAGGAUUUAGCUGAGGCGAAAGCUUGUCGCAAGACAUUUCGGCGAAUCGAACAAACCAGUUCAUGCUUGGGAUAGUUGCUUGUAAUUCUUCAACUUGAACGAGGAAUGCCUAGUAAUGCUGGGUCAUCAACCCAGCGUGAUUACGUCCCUGCCCUUUGUACACACCGCCCGUCGCUAGUACCGACUAGUUGGUUUAGUGAGUCGCUUGGAUUUAUAGGUUGGAAGGUCGCAAGGCCGGAAAAUCAGUGAAGAAGAAUGGCAAACUUGGUCAACCGGAGGAACUAAAAGUCGUAACAAGGUCUCCGU